AUUUGACCUGUAGUAGUUGUGGGGGGUACAGAGACCAUGAAAUAGGGACAGGAAGUACUGAAUUUCAGUCCUGGCUCUGCCACUUAGCCGAAUAUCUGACCUUGAGCAAGGCACUUAACUUUUCUGGACCUUGGGUUUCUCAUCUUUAAAAUGGAGAUAAUUUCAUCUUCUUAUGAUGGAUCUCUUCAGAGAAGUAAGAAUAAUGAAGAUUUUAAAUCAUCCCAAUAUAGUGAAGUUAUUCGAAGUCAUUGAAACUGAAAAAACACUCUACCUAAUCAUGGAAUAUGCAAGUGGAGGUGAAGUAUUUGACUAUUUGGUUGCACAUGGCAGGAUGAAGGAAAAAGAAGCAAGAUCUAAAUUUAGACAGAUUGUGUCUGCAGUUCAAUACUGCCAUCAGAAACGGAUCGUACAUCGAGACCUCAAGGCUGAAAAUCUAUUGUUAGAUGCCGAUAUGAACAUUAAAAUAGCAGAUUUUGGUUUUAGCAAUGAAUUUACUGUUGGCGGUAAACUCGACACAUUUUGUGGCAGUCCUCCAUACGCAGCACCUGAGCUCUUCCAGGGCAAGAAAUACGACGGGCCAGAAGUGGAUGUGUGGAGU
rnacentral:sRNA from 1 species